GGGGGAGUGCUGGCAGCUAUGGGGGUGUGAGAAGACACUGCUUUCUUCAUUAAAGAAGAGUAAAGAAAAGAUGUUUCCACUCUCCUCCUGACUGGCUUUCGAGGCAGAAGUAGGCCAAAGCAAUGGCGGUGAGCUUCCUCACAGUCCUCCUCCGGCCGCUGAUGUUAAUGCGAUCACCGGGGCUUCAACCAGACUGCCAGGGGAGGCCAGCGAGAGAACCGGUGGGUGUCGUGAGGAAUUUGGUAACCCCAGCAAGUUAAUGCCCCUCCCUCUCUUUUAACAGACGCACGGUCGCAUUACAACUCAAACAUCCAUUAAAUGUGAAAUAAAACAAGAGGUAUUUUUGACAGCUUGGAGGUUGUUUGUUUGUGACACAUUAACUUGUUUUUUUAAGACGGCGAGGAAACAAAAUGAGUCCAAACACCACAGGAGACAACGAGAGAGAGCUGGCUAAUGUUAACGCCUGAUUAAAAAAACAAAAAAAAACAAAAA